GCGAGGACGUGCUGAAACACUACACAGAAACGGGCAAGCACUCAGAAGCAUUUCGUUUGCCUUGAUCCUGGAGGCGCGCGGCCGUCUCCCGCUGCCGAGGAUUUGACGCGAACUCCUGGCAGAUCAGAAAUGUUCAGGCGAACGGCGGUCAUGUUUGUCCGUGGACCCAAGACUUCGUUGACGGGCAAAUAUGGAACACUGCAACAAGGACUGGUGUGGAUAGCGUGCUGCGCUAGGCUCGCCAAUUAAAAAGAAUUCUGUGACAUAACGAGCCAACAAUGAAAACCUCGAUCCACCCUGUCUCCACAUAUUAUCUAGUUUGUGCGCUGUGGAGCUUGAAGCACUUCUCAGAAUUUCAGCACACUCGCAUUUAUUGUAA